GAUCUCCGUCUUUCUUUAAGUUGACAGCAAUAAUGUGCAAAGUGGGAUGGACUCUGCUUGUAUAUAUAGCAGGUAUACUUACUGGCUACAGCACAAACUAGUCUGCAGGCACUGGAAGUUUUAUAUCCUUUGUUAAAGGAGCCUCAAUGCACUACUGGGGACUAACUAAACACUUCAGGUACUUGUCAGAACUAAAGAAGACAGAAGAAUAUAUGAAAUUAUAAGCAUCGCUAUAAUUAUUAUUUUAUAUGCAACUGAAUAUAAUAUUAUGGGGCUCUGCAGGCAAAUUUAUUUUACCAUGUUUUAAUUUAAGGGGGCUACCUAAGUCGAUGUUUUUUUUUCGACCAUAAAAACAAAAUGAGUGAAUUUGUACUUACCCCAUUUACAAAAGAAAUGAUGUAGAACUCCAUGAUAGUGAAAUCAAGCAAAACAACUUUGAAAAAUUGUUAUCAUCUAAAGAUUUUCUUAGUUGGAAACUGCAAAAGAAUGAAACACAAGUAUAAAAUGGC